AUCCAGUUGACGAAUCCCAAAUAGGACGAAAUGCGCAUCCUGGAU
rnacentral:hammerhead_ribozyme from 1 species